UGGGGAAUUUUGGACAAUGGGCGAAAGCCUGAUCCAGCCAUUCCGCGUGCAGGAUGAAGGCCCUCGGGUUGUAAACUGCUUUUGUACGGAACGAAAAGGCUUUCUCUAAUACAGGGAGCUCAUGACGGUACCGUAAGAAUAAGCACCGGCUAACUACGUGCCAGCAGCCGCGGUAAUACGUAGGGUGCAAGCGUUAAUCGGAAUUACUGGGCGUAAAGCGUGCGCAGGCGGUUAUGUAAGACAGAUGUGAAAUCCCCGGGCUCAACCUGGGAACUGCAUUUGUGACUGCAUAGCUAGAGUACGGUAGAGGGGGAUGGAAUUCCGCGUGUAGCAGUGAAAUGCGUAGAUAUGCGGAGGAACACCGAUGGCGAAGGCAAUCCCCUGGACCUGUACUGACGCUCAUGCACGAAAGCGUGGGGAGCAAACAGGAUUAGAUACCCAGGUAGUCCCUGAGCGGGCUGGCAAGGCGCAU
rnacentral:rRNA from 1 species